rnacentral:rRNA from 1 species
UACACUCCUACGGGAGGCAGCAGUGGGGAAUUUUGGACAAUGGGCGAAAGCCUGAUCCAGCAAUGCCGCGUGAGUGAAGAAGGCCUUCGGGUUGUAAAGCUCUUUUGUCAGGGAAGAAACGGUGAAAGCUAAUAUCUUUUGCUAAUGACGGUACCUGAAGAAUAAGCACCGGCUAACUACGUGCCAGCAGCCGCGGUAAUACGUAGGGUGCAAGCGUUAAUCGGAAUUACUGGGCGUAAAGCGUGCGCAGGCGGUUUUGUAAGUCUGAUGUGAAAUCCCCGGGCUCAACCUGGGAAUUGCAUUGGAGACUGCAAGGCUAGAAUCUGGCAGAGGGGGGUAGAAUUCCACGUGUAGCAGUGAAAUGCGUAGAUAUGUGGAGGAACACCGAUGGCGAAGGCAGCCCCCUGGGUCAAGAUUGACGCUCAUGCACGAAAGCGUGGGGAGCAAACAGGAUUAGAUACCGCAGUAGUCC